UACGUAGGGGGCAAGCGUUGUCCGGAAUCAUUGGGCGUAAAGAGCGUGUAGGCGGCCAGAAAAGUCCGCUGUGAAAACUCGAGGCUCAACUUCGAGCUGUCGGUGGAAACUUUCUGGCUAGAGUCCGGAAGAGGAGAAUGGAAUUCCUGGUGUAGCGGUGAAAUGCGCAGAUAUCAGGAAGAACACCGGUGGCGAAGGCGGCCUGCUGGGACAUGGCUGACGCUGAGGCGCGAAGGCCAGGGGAGCAAACGGG
rnacentral:rRNA from 1 species